UACAGAGGUCCCAAGCGUUGUUCGGAUUCAUUGGGCGUAAAGGGUGCGUAGGUGGCAUGGUAAGUCGGGUGUGAAAUCCCGGGGCUCAACCCCGGAACUGCACUCGAUACUACCGUGCUCGAGUACUGGAGAGGAGACUGGAAUUUACGGUGUAGCAGUGAAAUGCGUAGAUAUUCGCAAGAACACCAGUGGCGAAGGCGGCUCACUGGCCCGAAACUGACGCUGAGGCACGAAGGCGUGGGGAGCAAACAGG
rnacentral:rRNA from 1 species